rnacentral:rRNA from 1 species
CGAGCCCAACCUCCCACCCGUGUUUACCGUAACCGCGUUGCCUCGGCGGGCCCACUGGGGCCUGUCCCCGGUCGCCGGGGGGCAUCUGCCCCCGGGCCCGCGCCCGCCGAAGCGCCCUGGAACCCUGUCUGAAUAGUGAGUCUGAGUGAAUGAUUGAAUCAUUAAAACUUUCAACAACGGAUCUCUUGGUUCCGGCAUCGAUGAAGAACGCAGCGAAAUGCGAUAAUUAAUGUGAAUUGCAGAAUUCCGUGAAUCAUCGAGUUUUUGAACGCACAUUGCGCCCCCUGGCAUUCCGGGGGGCAUGCCUGUCCGAGCGUCAUUUCUGCCCUCCAGCCCGGCUGGGUGUUGGGCGCUGUCCCCCCGGGGACACGCCCCAAAGGCAGUGGCGGCGCCGCAUGGGUCCUCGAGCGUAUGGGGCUUUGUCACCCGCUCUGAGGGACUCGUCGGCGCUGGUCUUCCCCCAGGCGGCCCGUCUCGGGCUCGUCUUCUUCCGGUGACCUCGGAUCAGGUAGGGCUACCCGCUGAACUUAAGCAUAUCA